GUGGGCGUAGCCAAGUGAUAAGGCAGCGGUCUUCGGUGUCGCUGUGCUAGGGUUCGAAUCCUUCUAUCCAAU
rfam:Brugia malayi, FR3, WGS project CAPY01000000 data, contig: ctg1510330